rnacentral:rRNA from 1 species
UACGUAGGGUGCGAGCGUUGUCCGGAAUUAUUGGGCGUAAAGAGCUCGUAGGCGGUUUGUUGCGUCUAUCGUGAAAACCUGCAGCUUAACUGUGGGCUUGCGGUGGAUACGGGCAGACUUGAGUUCGGUAGGGGAGACUGGAAUUCCUGGUGUAGCGGUGAAAUGCGCAGAUAUCAGGAGGAACACCGGUGGCGAAGGCGGCAUCCUGGACCGAGAUUGACGCUGAUGAGCGAAAGCUAGGGGAGCAAACGGG